GGUCCUGUAGUUCAGUGGUAGAGCACCUGCUUGGCAUGCAGAAGGUUCCAGGUUCAAUCCCUGGCAGUAUCU